CACGUAGGGUGCGAGCGUUGUCCGGAAUUAUUGGGCGUAAAGAGCUCGUAGGCGGUGUGUCGCGUCGGCCGUGAAAACUUGCAGCUUAACUGUGGGCGUGCGGUCGAUACGGGCAUCACUGGAGUUCGGCAGGGGAGACUGGAAUUCCUGGUGUAACGGUGAAAUGCGCAGAUAUCAGGAGGAACACCGGUGGCGAAGGCGGCCCCCUGGACCGGUACUGACGCUGAGGCGCGAAAGCGUGGGGAGCAAACGGG
rnacentral:rRNA from 1 species